CAGUUGGAUGAAAGGAGAGAAGGUUAGCACUCCCCUUGACAAGGAUGGAAGAGGCCCUUGGGCCUGACAACACACAUAUGGUUAAGGUAUUGCCACCUCCUUUGUGGCAUCUAAUCAGGGUCUCCA
ensembl:snRNA